GAUGAGCCAAGUUUAGAAGCUUCUUUAAAGAGCUUCAUAGCAAGAUUAAACUGAAGAGUUUGAUCAUGGCUCAGAUUGAACGCUGGCGGCAGGCUUAACACAUGCAAGUCGAGCG
rnacentral:rRNA from 1 species